GACGAACCGAGCGAACGUUGUUCGGAAUCACUGGGCUUAAAGGGCGCGUAGGCGGGCAUCCAAGUCUGUGGUGAAAUCCGGCAGCUUAACUGUCGAACUGCCGUGGAUACUGGGUGUCUCGAGGGAGGUAGGGGCGUGCGGAACUAUUGGUGGAGCGGUGAAAUGCGUUGAUAUCAAUAGGAACUCCGGUGGCGAAGGCGGCACGCUGGACCUUUUCUGACGCUGAGGCGCGAAAGCCAGGGGAGCAAACGGG
rnacentral:rRNA from 1 species